rnacentral:rRNA from 1 species
UGGGGAAUUUUGGACAAUGGGGGAAACCCUGAUCCAGCCAUCCCGCGUGUGCGAUGAAGGCCUUCGGGUUGUAAAGCACUUUUGGCAGGAAAGAAACGUCGCGGGUUAAUACCCCGCGAAACUGACGGUACCUGCAGAAUAAGCACCGGCUAACUACGUGCCAGCAGCCGCGGUAAUACGUAGGGUGCAAGCGUUAAUCGGAAUUACUGGGCGUAAAGCGUGCGCAGGCGGUUCGGAAAGAAAGAUGUGAAAUCCCAGAGCUUAACUUUGGAACUGCAUUUUUAACUACCGGGCUAGAGUGUGUCAGAGGGAGGUGGAAUUCCGCGUGUAGCAGUGAAAUGCGUAGAUAUGCGGAGGAACACCGAUGGCGAAGGCAGCCUCCUGGGAUAACACUGACGCUCAUGCGCGAAAGCGUGGGGAGCAAACAGGAUUAGAUACCCUGGUAGUCCACGCCCUAAACGAUGUCAACUAGCUGUUGGGGCCUUCGGGCCUUGGUAGCGCAGCUAACGCGUGAAGUUGACCGCCUGGGGAGUACGGUCGCAAGAUUAAACUUAAGGAAUUGACGGGGGUCAUAGCUGUUUCCCU